CCUCAAGCAAAGGCCACCCUGUUCACAUGACCAACACAACAUGAAACUCAUAUAAUUUCCAAAAGUUUAACAUGUCAAUUUCACAUGCAUUUCAACCAUAUACAUGAAAUUUCUAUAACUCACACUUUUACAUAUACAUACAUCGUCAUCAUGUGUGCACACCCUACUCGCACACUUUGUCAUCAUCACGUGUGCACUCCUUACUCGCACACUCCAUCAUCAUCAUGUGUGCACUUCCAUCUCGCACUCUAUCAUCAUCAUGUGUGCACUCCCUACUCGCACACUCUAUCAUCAUCAUGUGUGCACUCCUUACUCGCACACUUGAACAUCACCACCCAACAUCAUUCAUCAAUACACAGCACAUAUUCAUAAGAUAUAUACAUACAUACCAACAUAAUAUAAAGUACUUGAAUUCAUCCUUAUUCACAUCUCACAUUUCACAAUAUCAAAAACAUUUAAUCAAGACUUGUUCCCUAGCACACAUUUUUUAAGAAAGAUUGGAAAAAACCAUUCAAAUAUCUUGUGCAAUUACAUUCACAUUCCCAAAACAAGUUUGAAAAGCAAGUCCACUCACCUGAAUUUAUUGAGCGUUUAACCGACUCUAACUUUCCUAAUGGUCCAAUUAGGGCUGUGGGACUUCAUUAGAACCUAUCAUCACAUUAGUAUCACCAAUAUGUCAAUUCACAUACUUAUAAAGUCUAAAGCUAUCUCUUAGCUAGCUUCCAAUUGCCAUUUAAAUGGCUAUUUAUUUUCACUACUCUAAUCACUCUAAAAUGAGUGGAUAACCUCAACUACAACAUUCACAAGUCUACUUACUAAUCAUUCCCAACACAAAAAAAUAAAUUCUAAUUCAUUACUCACCUUGGUAGCUUGUAACUUUAAAAUUCUUUCUAAUAAAUUUUCCAAGCUAUUAUGGGAGCUUUCUCUCUCUUUCUCUCUCUAAACACCUAACUAGUGAGAGAAAGUAUGAAAGUGAGAAUUUUCAAGGGUUUUGAAGUGAAAGAGCACAAGGGUUCCAUGAAAAGGUACACAAAGGCAUGAAAAUUGAAGUUAGAGAGAGAAAGUUAUGAAGUUUUCAUACCAUGCUUCCAUGGAGGGGGGGGGGAAACAAACUUGAGAUGGAAGGAGGAAGAAGAAG
rnacentral:lncRNA from 1 species